rnacentral:tRNA from 1 species
GGGGAUAUAGCUCAAUUGGUAGAGUGCUUGCCUUGCAUGUACAAGGACCUGGGUUCAACCCCUAGUACCACAA